GCCGCCGCGUUUAUCCUGGCAGAGGAGUCGGUUUACGGGAAGAGGACCUAGCCGACGGGAUAACAGACUGCCGGGUAUUGUGUUUCUUCAGCUGCGCCAGUCGUCGCCGUGCUCGAGGUUACCCAGUGGUCGCCGGUCUUGUCCGACGGCUGUACUGCGUUUCUUCUUCGUUCACCUGACGUCCAACAGGCUUCUCCCACCAAAGCCGGCUACUCGCUGGCCAGCGAUAUCUGCAUCUGAAUGAUGCAACGAAUUCGUCCAGGCUAGGCGGCGCGACUUCCAGACCAAGUCACGCUCGUCGUUAGACGCGAGGCGCAUUAGCGCGCGGCAACGUUCGCGAAUCACUAUGGAGAACGCGAUAACUCCUGUGCGUGAGUAAUUCGACUUCAAGGGCGACGAGGAAGUACCGACGGAUUUGAAUAGCACGAUUGUUGGACAACUGCGUCGCGGAUUCGCUCCGCUCUUGGACGAUCGAAUCUCGUCUUCCGCCGAUCGUUAGCGCGAAAUGGGGAGACCUCGGUGGGGAAAUUGAUGGUUGAUGAUUUUUGUGGGGAUGACGGUGAUUUUCUCUAUGAGGGAAAUUCGAUGUUUGCCGAAGGGUGUUGAAUAGUUGGGAAACUUGUGAUGGCUGAAGAUUCUUUUUGAGACAAUGAUCUUAUUCGAGGAAAAUUGCAGUUUUACUGGAGGAGAGGAAAAUAUGUUCGAGUGUGGUACAAGCGGGGUAUUAAUGUGUGUCGUGGGAAAUUUCUGGUUUAUUGUGGAGAUCCUAGUCCGAGGAUGCGAUGUGAACACGGUAAUUAUUGGCGAGUGUACUUAGAGGCACCGAAAGGCAUUGAAAGGGUGCGGAGAGCGUCGCGACAGCAACGGCAAUUAUCGUUAAUACGCGUAAUUGCCGCAGCUAACUUCUCAUUCGAAGUAUGGAACCAAGUGGGAGUGGGCUUUAUCGUUAUCGACUUCUUUCUGGUGGACGUGUGCUAUAGUCGUUGGUCGCACAGUGUAAAUUCUGAUAGAAUGUUGGCGAAGAUCGAAUUCUACACUUUUUAGACAUUUUGGUUAUUUUUGCAGAAGGUUCGAUUUUCGCAUUAAUUCAUAUUCAGCGACCUCUGACAAGCGGGAGAAAUUUUUUCCUAGAAUAAAACUGCCGCGACCUUGAAGCGUGGAAUCUCCUCUUUCCAACGAGCUAAAUAACGUCGAGCUACGAUUUUUUGGCACCACUUUAUGGCUGCUUGAAUCAAAAGAGUGCCGCGGCAGCUAAAUUCUGGGGAUUCGAAGUUCGAGGCAGAAAUAGAACGAAAUUUGGUAAAUUUCAAAUGACUGUAACUUUGUUGAAAAUUAUUCUAUCGCGUUGGCUCUUAGCUCAUCUUAAAGGCUGAAGUUUUCCCUUUAACACUGUUCUAAUUAUUUUGAAAUGUCAUCACUAUGUCGUUAUUAACGCAUUUUUUGCUACAAAGAUCAACUUGUACCUAAAACUUAUCUUUGCGAACCUGUGGAAAGGGCGACAAAUUUUUUCCUGAAAUACAAUUAAAUUCGUAAUGAAGCGUCAAGUUUUCUCUCUCCAAAAAGCCCAAAAACAUCGGCCUACGAUUUUUUCCCACUACUUUACAGCCAUUCUAAUCAGAGUGCUAAUUUACAGUAAAAAUAAGAAGGAAUUCAUAGAACUUCGAUUAUUCUGUAUGUCGCAAUAAAACAACUCGCUCAAAAAAUCCAAACAAAA